rnacentral:rRNA from 1 species
UAAACGGCGGCCGUAACUAUAACGGUCCUAAGGUAGCGAAAUUCCUUGUCGGGUAAGUUCCGACCUGCACGAAUGGCGUAACGACUUCCCCACUGUCUCGGCCAGGGGCUCAGCGAAAUUGACAUGGGGGUGAAGAUGCCCUCUACCCGCAGCUAGACGGAAAGACCCCGUGAACCUUUACUACAGCUUGGCACUGAUUUUCGGGAUAGUUUGUGUAGGAUAGGUGGGAGGCGUUGAAACCGGGACGCUAGUUUCGGUGGAGCCAACCUUGAAAUACCACCCUGAUUAUUCUGGAAAUCUAACCUAGGCCCGUUAUCCGGGUCGGGGACAAUGCCUGGUGGGUAGUUUGACUGGGGCGGUCACCUCCCAAAAAGUAACGGAGGUGCGCGAAGGUCCUCUCAGCCUGAUUGGAAACCAGGCGUAGAGUGCAAUGGCAUAAGAGGGCUUGACUGCGAGACUUACUAGUCGAGCAGGUGGGAAACCAGGUCAUAGUGAUCCGGUGGCUCCGAAUGGAAGGGCCAUCGCUCAACGGAUAAAAGGUACUCCGGGGAUAACAGGCUGAUCUCCCCCAAGAGUUCACAUCGACGGGGAGGUUUGGCACCUCGAUGUCGGCUCAUCGCAUCCUGGGGCUGAAGUGGGUCCCAAGGGUUUGGCUGUUCGCCAAUUAAAGCGGUACGCGAGCUGGGUUCAGAACGUCGUGAGACAGUUCGGUCCCUAUCUGCUGUGGGCGUAGGAGUGUUGAAGAGAUCUGUCCCUAGUACGAGAGGACCGGGAUGGACGGACCUCUAGUGUUCCUGUUGUUCUGCCAAGGGCAUUGCAGGGUAGCUAUGUCCGGAACGGAUAACCGCUGAAAGCAUCUAAGCGGGAAGCCGGCUCUAAGAUAAGCACUCCCUGGACCUUCGGGUCCCUAAAGGUCAGUCGAAGACUACGACGUUGAUAGGCUGGGUGUGGAAGUGCAGCAAUGUAUGGAGCUAACCAGUACUAAUCGACCGUGAGGCUUGGCCUU